CAGCUCCUAGAAUUCUGCGGUCAGCAUUCUGAGAGUUGAAGCCCACACAUGAGACUUGAAGUCCACACAUCUCCACAACCGAGACUCGCCUAGUGUGGUAGUCUGCACAUUCCGGCUUCUCGGUUUCGAAAGGCAGCGUGCGACAGGAUUCUUAUCUCUUCGUCUUAUAACCCAAGUUGGCAGGGCUCCCUCUGAGCAGCGAGCUCCUGGCGGAGCUACGGUAUAGGUUGCGGUGAGGCGCGGGGCGGAGGAAAGAUAUAAACGUGGCUGAGGGGUAGGUUAGGAGGCUUGGUUGAGUCUUCCUCAAAGAGGCUAAGCGAGAAGAGCGAGCAGGCUAAGAGGCAGCUCCUGGGAGAGCCGGCCGGGAUGAAUGCUGCGGCGUGGGCGCUGCUGGGCUGGAUGCUGAGCAGAAAGAGCUUCCAGGGAGAAGCCCAGUUGGUAAGCGAUGCCCAAAGUGCUUGGCGCCUUUUCUUCCCUGCGUUGGCUUCGAGCCUUGCCCCUCGCCUGCUGGGUAGCGGGCAGAAAUUCGGGAGGCUUUGAAGAAAGCUCAGGCGCUUGAACGCCUGCCUGGGAAAGGUAGCUUUUAAAUGGCCCGCCCCUUCCUCUGCUUUGGAGAUAUUUAGUUGCCACUCAGGGCUUUGGGAGAAACCCCUUGUGGUGGAAGGAGAGGGGCGGUUCUACAAAGUAUGGCUUAUCUAAUUUGUGUCGGUUGAAAUAUCAGCAACAGUUCUAUUAUAAUAGCAUGCUUAGGGAAACUACUUUUAAAAAAGCCAAGAAUUAAUUAGUCACAGCCUGGUGCAAAUAAACUUUUGAAAGACUUAAUUCUGAAAUUAGGAACUGUUUUUUAGUAGAAAUGAUGAGAGAUUGGGGAUGAAAUGCUUUCUUGAUGGACUUGUAAAAAAGCAAAUAAUUUCUGGGUUCAAAUACAUACGUUACAAAAAUUUUUAAAGCUCAAUAUUCAGCUGAAAAUAGUAUUCUUGCUGGAGAUAUUAUAUAUAUGCCAUAUCUAUAGCUAGCUGUAGAUUAACUUCUUAACCCAUUAGUUUGAGACCAUACUUAGCUGACUGGUUAACAUCCAUUUUGCCAGUAAUUGUUUUUUUUGUUAGGAUUGAAAAAUGAUGAAGGUGAAAGAGGAAUGAAUCCAUUUACCCAACAAUGAACACCUUCGAGGACGGUGGAAUACAAACACAAUAAUCCUAUCAAAUGCUAUAAAGAAGAUGGUAUGUAUAAAUAAAAUGUGUUUUUAAGGGUUAAAAUUGUUAAAAUUCUGUUGCAAGUAUUGGACAUUCAUGCACCCCAUUUCCAUUGUAGGUAGUUUAAGAUACAAUGAAUAUAUGAAGUCCUUGUGGUCUUUUUAAUCAAUGUGCAUCUAAACAAGUAUACUCAUCAUAUGCCUGCUUAACUUUUGCCUUUCCUUGACUGAUUAGGCCAGACGAAGGCCAGACAGAGGCCACAGAUGACAAUCAGUGUGUCACAGAAGGAGGAAAGAACUGAAGUCUCCAGCCUUAAGUCUGUUGUAAAGCCUCUUGUGUGAAGAACCCUCCUUUAGAUUCCACUGAGUUGAAUAAUAUCUGACCAGUUUGUCAUUCCUAAAGAUAAUGGUUAACCUUCUCUGUUCCAAACUAAAGCAAACUAAAGCAAUAAUACUUAAAGAAUGCAAUGCUGUUGGUUAGUCUGUAAAUAAAUACUAGUGACUUUCUCAAGGGCGGUAUAAUGAGUAGACUUGAGACCGUGAAUUCUUUUUAACAUUAUACUGUUAUAGUAUUUCUAUUAAUAUUUCCAAUUGUGAAUAAGUAGCAGAAAAAGUGAAUAAAGAAAACACAAGGGAUUGGAAAGGAAUGGCAUGGCUUAUACUUCCUAAAGGUAUUGUUGAAAUGCAGCAGAUAUAUAAAAUUAUGCAUAGGAAGGAUGGCUUUGGAUUUUGCAUGAACUUUUUAUGUACUUCAGGACUCCAAGAUCACACUUCCAUCAUUUGAUGGAAAAACAAUUAAAUUUCAGUGUAAAAAUUUUGCACUUUGAAAAAAUUAAUGUCAUCCCAUUCCUGCUCAUUUUCUGAAUCAGCAUGUAUUCUGAUGACAGUUUUAGCCAUCAUAAGAACUUGAGAAGAGAGUACAAUAAGCAAAUGAUCUUGAAAAUUACAUUUCAAAUUGUUUAGCAUAUGGAAUUUUAAUGAUGACAGCAGGCUAUGUUUCUCCAGGUUAAAUUAGUACACAUGCAUUUUUGUGUGAUUUUGAUUCUUCUUACAUUUUCUCCUUCAAGAAAGGUAUGAAGUAAAAUGGCUGCCAAAGUCUAUCAAGAGAUCUUUAAUUCUAAAUGUCUCACUUGGAGGAAGGUGUAGGAUAAUCAAAAAAGAGUCAUACUGCAGCUGGACUCUUACUGGCAAACUCUCCAAUCCAGCUCCUAUAGAUUCUGUAGCUAUUGGCAUUUCUGUACCCUUUCUAGAAGGAUGGCCAAGGCAGAAGGAACUCCAGAUGAUGUGCCACCAGCAUGGAUUUUUCUGGGAAUGAAUGGUAGUGUUCAGAGAAGGAGGAGUAUAAAGCAUCCAAAGCUUCAAGACCUUGUAGGCUAGUUGGCUAGCCUAAUAAACUGGAGGUUUUCACUGCAAAUGUAUUAACUCCUCACUUUCAUUCUUUGCAAGGGCCUCAUCCUGAGUUGGAACAAGAACAUAGAUUCACACCAGCAGAUCUUUUUAAUAUCAGCAUCAAGAUUGUUGAAAUACAAGGAAUAUGCAAAUUUAACAUAAGUUGGAUCCUUAAUGAAGAUGCCAGUAUACAAUACUUGAAGGCAACCAAGAUAUGUGAAUCCCGUGAAGGCUGUAUUCGAUGUGAUUACCUAGAAGCAUUUCAAAGUCAAACCAUGUCUAAGCAUAAAAAAGUAAGAACAUUUUUUAAAAGUUGUGGUUUGCUGCUAUUAUAUUGUAUUGAUAGAAUAUGGUCUUACUCAGUUUAGUAACCUAAUGCAAUAGUAAAUUAUUUCUUUUAAGAUAACAUGAUAAGUUAGACUCUGUACAAUAGAACAAAAAUCUUCUGAACUGAAAUGACAAAAACCUGGUUUUUAUGUAAAAUUAUUGUGAGAUGAAAAUAAACUUCAGUGCUCCAAAUGUGCUCAAA